GAUGAACGCUGGCGGCGUGCCUAAUACAUGCAAGUCGAGCGAACAGAUGAGGAGCUUGCUCCUCUGACGUUAGCGGCGGACGGGUGAGUAACACGUGGAUAACCUACCUAUAAGACUGGGAUAACUUCGGGAAACCGGAGCUAAUACCGGAUAAUAUAUUGAACCGCAUGGUUCAAUAGUGAAAGACGGUUUUGCUGUCACUUAUAGAUGGAUCCGCGCCGCAUUAGCUAGUUGGUAAGGUAACGGCUUACCAAGGCAACGAUGCGUAGCCGACCUGAGAGGGUGAUCGGCCACACUGGAACUGAGACACGGUCCAGACUCCUACGGGAGGCAGCAGUAGGGAAUCUUCCGCAAUGGGCGAAAGCCUGACGGAGCAACGCCGCGUGAGUGAUGAAGGUCUUCGGAUCGUAAAACUCUGUUAUUAGGGAAGAACAAAUGUGUAAGUAACUAUGCACGUCUGGACGGUACCUAAUCAGAAAGCCACGGCGAACUACGU
rnacentral:rRNA from 1 species